rnacentral:rRNA from 1 species
AACGAACGCUGGCGGCAGGCUUAACACAUGCAAGUCGAACGCCCCGCAAGGGGAGUGGCAGACGGGUGACGUAACACGUGGGAACGUACCCUUUACUACGGAAUAACGCAGGGAAACUUGUGCUAAUACCGUAUGUGCCCUUCGGGGAAAGAUUUAUCGGUAAAGGAUCGGCCCGCGUUGGAUUAGCUAGUUGGUGGGUAAAGGCCUACCAAGGCGACGAUCCAUAGCUGGUCUGAGAGGAUGAUCAGCCACAUUGGGACUGAGACACGGCCCAAACUCCUACGGGAGGCAGCAGUGGGGGAAUAUUGGACAAUGGGCGCAAGCCUGAUCCAGCCAUGCCGCGUGAGUGAUGAAGGCCUUAGGGUUGUAAAGCUCUUUCACCGGAGAAGAUAAUGACGGUAUCCGGAGAAGAAGCCCCGGCUAACUUCGUGCCAGCAGCCGCGGUU